UACAGAGGGUGCGAGCGUUAAUCGGAAUUACUGGGCGUAAAGGGUGCGCAGGCGGCCGUGUGUGUGAGGCGUGAAAGCCCGGGGCUUAACCCCGGAAUUGCACCUCAAACUACACGGCUAGAGCAUUGGAGAGGGUAGCGGAAUUCACGGUGUAGCAGUGAAAUGCGUAGAUAUCGUGAGGAACACCAGAGGCGAAGGCGGCUACCUGGACAAUUGCUGACGCUCAGGCACGAAAGCGUGGGGAGCAAAAGGG
rnacentral:rRNA from 1 species